CUCGGCUCGUGUGUCGAUGAAGAGCGCAGCCAACUGUGUGAAUUAAUGUGAAUUGCAGGACAUAUUGAACAUCGACAUCUUGAACGCAUAUUGCGGCAUCGGUUCUCUCCCGGUGCCACGCCUGUCUCAGGGUCGGUUGACUAGCUAUCGCGCCCUCCGCUCUGGCUCCGGUUCUCAGGACCCGGAGAAGGGUGCGCCCUGGGCUGUCGCAGCGGGUUCGCCUGCUCCGUCGCCUCAAGUGCAGACCGGUUCCCCGUUGGGAGGAGACCCCAUGUCCGACGCGGUCGAGGACUUGCACCUCGCAGUGGGCGGACGGUGGCUCGGUUCAUCCCUGAUGCCUCCGCCCCGUGUGAGUCGCGGCCGCGCAGUGUCCUCGUGGGACCUGGCGGACCUCCUUCCGGAGCCGUAGCAGCUCGUGAAUUUAUUUCGCUUUGUCGACCUGAGAUCAGACGAGAU
rnacentral:rRNA from 1 species